AGUGGUUCUCAGGUGAUGCACCCUGGAACCAGAGAGGAGGGAGCCCGAUUCUGGGGUGCAUCACCCAAGAACCGCC
rfam:Myotis lucifugus cont2.12219, whole genome shotgun sequence.